rnacentral:tRNA from 7 species
GGGGUAUAGCUCAGCUGGGAGAGCGCUUGCAUGGCAUGCAAGAGGUCAGCGGUUCGAUCCCGCUUACCUCC